rnacentral:miRNA from 1 species
CACAUUACACGGCGACCUCG